rnacentral:rRNA from 1 species
UGGGGAAUAUUGGACAAUGGGCGCAAGCCUGAUCCAGCAAUGCCACGUGUGUGAAGAAGGCCUUAGGGUUGUAAAGCACUUUCAUUAGCGAGGAAGGUAUUUAGGUUAAGAGCUAAGAUACUUGACGUUAACUAAAGAAGAAGCACCGGCUAACUCUGUGCCAGCAGCCGCGGUAAUACAGAGGGUGCGAGCGUUAAUCGGAAUUACUGGGCGUAAAGAGUACGUAGGUUGUUAUUUAAGUCAGAUGUGAAAGCCCUGGGCUCAACCUAGGAACUGCAUCUGAUACUGGGUAACUGGAGUAUAGUAGAGGAAAGAGGAAUUUCUGGUGUAGCAGUGAAAUGCGUAGAUAUCAGAAGGAACAUCAGUGGCGAAGGCGUCUUUCUGGACUAAUACUGACACUGAGGUACGAAAGCGUGGGUAGCGAACAGG